rnacentral:rRNA from 1 species
UACGGAGGAUGCGAGCGUUAUCCGGAUUUAUUGGGUUUAAAGGGUGCGUAGGCGGCUUUUUAAGUCAGCGGUGAAAUUUUGCAGCUUAACUGUAACAGUGCCGUUGAUACUGUUUGGCUAGGAUUUGGUUGUAGUGUGCGGAAUGUGUGGUGUAGCGGUGAAAUGCUUAGAGAUUACACAGAACACCGAUUGCGAAGGCAGCUCACAAAGCCAUAUCUGACGUUGAGGCACGAAAGCGUGGGGAGCAAACAGGAUUAGAUACCCCCGUA